GCAGUCGAACGAUGAACCUCACUUGUGGGGGGAUUAGUGGCGAACGGGUGAGUAACACGUGAGUAACCUGCCCUUAACUCUGGGAUAAGCCUGGGAAACUGGGUCUAAUACCGGAUAUGACUCCUCAUCGCAUGGUGGGGGGUGGAAAGCUUUUUGUGGUUUUGGAUGGACUCGCGGCCUAUCAGCUUGUUGGUGAGGUAAUGGCUUACCAAGGCGACGACGGGUAGCCGGCCUGAGAGGGUGACCGGCCACACUGGGACUGAGACACGGCCCAGACUCCUACGGGAGGCAGCAGUGGGGAAUAUUGCACAAUGGGCGCAAGCCUGAUGCAGCGACGCCGCGUGAGGGAUGACGGCCUUCGGGUUGUAAACCUCUUUCAGUAGGGAAGAAGCGAAAGUGACGGUACCUGCAGAAGAAGCGCCGGCUAACUACGUGCCAGCAGCCGCGGUAAUACGUAGGGCGCAAGCGUUAUCCGGAAUUAUUGGGCGUAAAGAGCUCGUAGGCGGUUUGUCGCGUCUGCCGUGAAAGUCCGGGGCUCAACUCCGGAUCUGCGGUGGGUACGGGCAGACUAGAGUGAUGUAGGGGAGACUGGAAUUCCUGGUGUAGCGGUGAAAUGCGCAGAUAUCAGGAGGAACACCGAUGGCGAAGGCAGGUCUCUGGGCAUUAACUGACGCUGAGGAGCGAAAGCAUGGGGAGCGAACAGGAUUAGAUACCCUGGUAGUCCAUGCCGUAAACGUUGGGCACUAGGUGUGGGGGACAUUCCACGUUUUCCGCGCCGUAGCUAACGCAUUAAGUGCCCCGCCUGGGGAGUACGGCCGCAAGGCUAAACUCAAGGAAUUGACGGGGGCCCGCACAAGCGGCGGAGCAUGCGGAUUAAUUCGAUGCACGCGAAGAACCUUA
rnacentral:rRNA from 1 species